CAGGAAAAACACCUCGUGUGCAUACAGUUUAUAUUCAACGUGUAGAACACCAACGAAGCACAGCAAAGACAAGAACAAAGCAGCACUAGRCGUCAGGGAUGUCUUCUCUUGUUUCAUUGUAAGAAGCCCUCCAUCAACAGGCAACAAGGCACCACUGAUCAUGGAAGCUUUGUCACUCAGCAGGAACAGUAUGGCAUUCACAACCUCUUCCUCUUCUGUAACCAGAGCAAAAAACCCAUUAAAUCUUUUACAUCAA